AUCCCCCAGUUUUUCAUGGCAUCUCCUGAGGCUGACAUGUGGAUAUUCUCUGAGGUGUAGGAAAGGAGACUCUCUCCCCUCGUGCCCCAGGUAGAGUGUUGCUCCUCUAAGUUACCAGUGAGCUCGCCUCCUUACCCCAAUAUGUCCCACUUUUUGCUUCACUCACUUAGGACUGUAAAUGAGGUGAAUGACUUAGAGGAGAAUGUAUAUCUUUAUAAUAUUGGGUCUUCUCAUCCAAGGGCAUGACAGGUCUCUCCAUAUCUUUUUAAGUUUUCUUCAUAUAAGCCUUGAACAUUUCUUAAGUUUAUUCCUUGGUAGUUUCUUUGUUACUGUUAAUUUACUUUAUUUCUUCAUUAUUAUUUUUAACUGGUUACAUUAUUU
rnacentral:lncRNA from 1 species